rnacentral:lncRNA from 1 species
GGACCCCUUUCAGAUCCUUGCCGAUUCUGUAAUUUUUUCAUUCUAUGUUAUUUAGCUACUCCAUAUUUUAAAUCAGUAAAAGAAUUCCGUUAGUCGAAUAAACCGUCCAUUUCCUAGUCAUCUUCAUUUUCUAAUCAGCAACAUAGUUGUUGUUUUUUUUCUUUUGAGGGAACAUUUCCCACAAAGAGACAUGUCCCUUGGUCCGAUGUGUUAGUUACAUUAGGAUGGAAAACACACCACCUCGAGUUACAGGUGCUGAGCGCCCUUCCCUUGACAAUCCAACCUCAUGUUUUGAGUUGACUCACAUGUAACUCAGGAAAACUGCAUGAUGUUCUUGUCAUGGUCCUUGGUAAAGCUUACAUAUAGUUGAAACCUUGGUUAAAUGUCAAGGAUCUUGUUGAUACUAAUUUUCAAGAAGACCUGUAACCACUCUGU